GAUUCCAUUUUCUACAUGAAAUUUCUAAUAUACACUCAUUGCCUGCUACUAUGCUCCUGGCAUAAUCGAUUUUCUACACUAUCAUCUAAAAUAAAGCACAAACUGGUUUUUUUUUUUCUAACAUUUCCUUAUACCACCGCCUCUAACAUUAUCUCUCUCUCUCUCUCUCUCUCACAUUCGUUUUCCCUUAUAUGAAAUUAGGGUUUUUUUUUCCACUGAAAGUAGCGACAGUUCCUUAUCAAUCUAUAUGUUAGUUUUUGGUAUAUUUCUUCCGAUUACGCUAGCUGUUUCUCUCCACCGCUAUCUUCUCCAUCCAUGUUCGAUUUCUUAUCACGACUUGAGUUCCAUUAGCUCGUCGUGUGGUCAAAAUUUCAAUGUCGAUCUACUGUGCGCUUCCUUCUUUUCUUACAAGUUCCAUCUCUACCUCUCAAAUUCUAAUAAUCACUUUAUUGAUCAUCUUCAUCUUCUUCUUUAGUUCUUUUUUUUCCAUACUUCAUAGGAUUCACGAGUUAAGUGUGGAGGAAAUUUGUAGCUAGGGCUUAUAAUUGAUUCGUAGAUUAAAUUGGGGUACUUUUUAAAAGUGUUUUUUGGAUACUUUUUAUUCUUGAAACUUUAGUUAUUUCUUUCCACCGACAGAGGGGAGUGGGAAGAUGCAUAUGGUGAUGUUGGGGAUGAAAGGUUUAUGGGUGGUGGUUGACAGUUAGAAGUAAACACUAUCAAAUAUAAUGUUUGCAAUGGCUUAAAGAAAGUUAUUCUCAUAGAAUGCGUGAAGUGAAGAUGGUGAUCAAUGACAUGAAGGUUAGAUGAUGGUAUAUGUAAUGAAGAUGAACAAUGGUCACCAAAGAAAGCACUAUUCAUCAUUAUAUUCUCGCAGAAUAAUCUACAAUAGAAUGAUAAGGAUAUGUUUAAUAGUAUAUUCUUAUAGAAUAAUCAACAAAUUGUGUUUGUUUUUUAGUGGUAAGUGUUUCAUUAUCAUAGAAUAGAAUAUAAAGUUUUUUAUUUUUUUAGAGUGUGAUAGAAAAAAUUAACAUGCAUGUAUCCAAAAUUUUGUUAUUUUUCGAGAA